AAUCACUUGUUCUUUAAAUGAGGACUAGAAUCAACGGCAUCACGAGGAUCCCACUGUCUCCCCCCUCCAAUCAGUGAAACUGAUCUCCCCGUGAAGAAGCGGGGAUACAAAUAUAAGACGAGAAGACCCCAUGGAGCUUUAAACCCAACAGCACCCGUUUAUUUUCAUCCUCACAUAAGUUAGGUUAUGCCUGUUUGGUUUUAGGUUGGGGUGACCACGGAGUAUAAAACAACCUCCAUGAAAAAAGGACCAAAAAUCCUUAUUAGAGAAAGACAUUUCUAAAAUUAAUAAAUUAAUUUUUAAUGAUCCGAUAUUCGAUCAACGAACCAAGUUACCCUGGGGAUAACAGCGCAAUCCACUUCAAGAGCUCCUAU
rnacentral:rRNA from 1 species